UCGAAUGUUUCAUUUCUCUUGGAACGAUAAUAAAGAGUAGUAGUAAUCUCGCGGAGGAGGCUCGUGAUACUCGACUUCAUUCAUCGAUUCCAACGUAUAUAUGUACACAAUUUUCCCUUUCCUAUACUAUUCGUUGCUUCCUUGUGGCACGAAUUCGGCACACACGAAGACAUACAAGCCUCGCCAGACAUCCGAACAAUUUCCUUUUCUUCUUCGAGCGUGGCGCCGCCUUUGUAGCCCUGGAGAACGUUAUGACACCAUUGCCACAUUUCGAAGAUUUCUCGGUAAUUUGCAUUUCAAUCUCCAAGAUAAUACACAUGGGACUUUGAUUCAAAACGUAUCCUUUCUUUUCUUGCUUAUUUUUCAAUGUAUAUACCGAGUUAAUAAACGAUUAUUACACAUCUAAUUUAGAUCUUUAAUAUUUUCCAGUUAAAGGCUGAAAAACUAUUAAUCAGAACGAAACUCGAAAAUAUUUCAUAUUAAACAAUUUCAUAUUAUUGUAACACGACGAUACUUGCUACAAAAGCUUACAAUUCUUUCAUUAUGAGAAAUAAUAAACGUGUAAGAAGAACAGUGAAAUCGAAGAUCUAAGUGAGACAAAGCCGCAUAUUUUUCCAUGCUAACCAAAUUAAUACGACUUCCUCGAGUAUUCAUCAAAUCUCGCACCAAUUGAAAUUUUCUCAGACAGCGUUCGAAUACAUUUCCACGAGAAGAAGAUAUUUCCAAGCCUUCGUUUUCAUCUAAAGAAUUAAAGACGACGUUUCCAACGUGUCGGAAGAGUAUCUUUCACGCAACGUUCCUCUCUCCCUUCUUCUGCAUAUCUUGGUGCAUUAGAGUGCAUGCACGAUGAUAUUAAGAUGGUAGCGUAAUUAACGAAAUACUGUUCUCUCUGGUUCGGAACAGAGAUAUUUCGAUAUUUUAAUUUUCCAGUAAUAUCCAGGGAAAAUUCAGGGACGGUGGAAACGUUUGUUUGCUGUUUAAUCCUUUGGAAUAGGAAUAAUUCAAGCUGAAGCACUCUCGAGGAAAAAAGAGCUGUGAAUUUGGAAAAAAUGUAAUGUGACACAUGUUAGAGGAGUAUUAUAUUCAGAUUGAAGGAUCGAAUCUCUCGGCCUCUCGAAUUCUUUUAUUCAAAAACGCUUUUCGCCAAAUACCGAAGUAAGAACGGAGAGGAAGGAUUACCGAAUAAGGAUAAAAAUCGAGAAGAGGAUAGAUUUCCACGGCGACGACGAUGCAAGAGCGUCGGUGAGAGUUUGACCACUUGGGAAUCGAAUCCUCGCGCGACCUCGACUUUCCCUUACCCCCCAUUUGACACGUUAAAGAGCCGAGGGAAUGUUGGAUUUAUCGUCGUUUUUUUCUAACCCCUUGGAUAACGAAAAUCCAAGUGGGUAUAAAAUAAAAUGAAACAAUUUGACACGACACAUCAAUCUCACGCUUAAAUUAAUGUAAUUGUAUUAAAUUUCGAAAGAGGAUGGAUAUUUUGGAAAAUUUAUAAAA